AGACAUACGGAUGCGACAGACCCUCGCUCCAGCUCUGUGACUUGACUUCUCAGUACCUCCCUCGAGGGUGGAGAGGAUCUGGGAUAAUGCAGGCAAAAUGUGGACUCGUGUCCACUCCUCCCUGGUCAUCGGUUGUUCCCCGGGGGCACCUGGGGUCCUGAAGGGGGGGGGGUGCCAUGGCCAAGCCGCAUUAGCCAGGACGAGGGUGGUCACAGGCUGGCUCAAAUGACAAGGACAUCUUGGCUCGCUAAACUGGAAGGUCCUGAGGUGCCUGAGGCUUUAGCACAGUGGGACCCCGGGGUGAUGGCCCGCGUGGGCACGGCGGGAGUGCUCGGUCUGACCCGGGCAGAGAGCUGUGAAAUGGACUGGAUUCGGGUCACCGGCUUGCCCUCCAGACUUGCAGGGGCCUCCAUGGUGCUGUCUCUGGCUGGAAUGAUUUCCACUGCAGGUCCCGCCCUCUGCUGGCCCACUCAGGGACCCGACGGUCAGCGCACAGGUGCUUCUGGAUCCCCCGGGAGGCGGCGGCGCCUGGCGUUCUGCCCAUGAUCUGUUUGGUGGAAAUCGCCUCUGAAGCCCUGGGAUCCACAGGGAGGGGUGACAGGUGAGGGUCAAGGCUGUGCCUUGUCUUGAGCGUCCUCCUUGCAGCCGCGUCCUCCUUGCAGCCGCGCUCUUGCUUCCAGGGUUCUGUGAGCUCCUCCCUGAGUGGCCUCAAGCUGCCUGCAUGGAGGGCACCCCGGCACCGCAGCUGUAGCCCCUGCACCAGCCCCGCGACCCUGGACAAGUUGACCCACCACUCUGAGCCUUGGCCUCCGCCACUGUAAAAUGAGAUGGACGUCCAGGUACCGACACAGACACGUGCACAGAUGGCCGUGUGGGUGUUCUCCAUGAGUGUAUUCUAAACAGCCAGCAUCCAAUCCAUGGACAAACCGUGUGCACACACGCGAUGCCCUGCUGAUGCAAACGGAUGGCUCUCCAAACCUGCCACGGGCGGAGAAAGAUGGCUACCUGCAGUUCCAAGCCGCAUCCUAUCAUCUUGGCAGCUCCCGCAGGAAGAGUGUCUUCUUCACCCACAGCUGCUACAGAGUCUCCAAGUCUGUGUUCGUGACUGGGUCACAUCCUGAGUCUAAAGCCACAGGGUGGGGUCGGCCCCACCUGAACCCCAGGCGUGCGGGCUAUGGGAGACGUGGCUCCCCGCGGGAGAGAUGGUAUUGUCUGCAAAGCGAGCCAAGAAAGCCAUCCGAGGGCCGGCACUUCUCAGCAGGGUGUGGUGGUACCACGCCUUCUCACCACGGCCAGGCCACUGGAGUGGAGCCCAACCUCGCUACCUCAAGCCCAUGGUUUUUCUGUGACGUCACCAGCUCUGCCUGGUUAGAUACGAGACAAAACAGAAAGCGAGCACAAACUGCUUCCCCGCCGCUCAAGCCAAACAAAGCCCUUCCUGCCUGUGCUGGGCCAGCCGUCUACACCCCGAGGAUGCGGGCAGGGGCAGGAGUUCAGCCACUCUGGCCCAGGCCCAGCAGCAAUGCCAGGACCUGCAGGACAACUUCCCCCCACCCCCAGAAGAGGGGAAGGCUCCCUCCCCCUCCCCCGUGGCCCAGAGCUGCAGCGCAUUCAACACAGACAGGCAUCCCAGCAGGGCCCGAGGAGGCUGCUGCCCGCCCUAACCCCUGGAGCUGCAAGCUCCUGUCUCAGGCUUGCAUCCCACCCAGAAGGAGAAUCAGAAGUUGAUUGAAGUAGCAGAGAAAGUGAGGCCAGUACAAAUGGCCAUGUCCCUUGAUGCGACUCUGCCUUCAGAACCAGGUACGGCUCAUCCCCCUCUAACCCAGGAGCACAUGGCCUGAGGGUCCCCAGCUGCCUGGCAGACUCACUGGAGGAACAGGCAAGAAGCAACAAAGAUUCCAAGCUCUGGGUACCCCCAGCAAUGCAGAUCCAACUGGGCAAGGCUCAGGCACCGGCUCCCCAGGUGAGUCUAGGGCCACGGGACCAGCAGUGCUGUGGCGGCCCCUGGCCCACACGGCCAGCAUCCUCUGCCAGCCUCAUCAACCCUGGUUUACAGAGAACCCCAGGGCUGGACAAAUCUCAGUGCUUCCUGGCUGGGGACCCACAGUGCGUCCCACUCAGCAAAAGGAGAGCAAAGGCGCUCUGACUCCAGCAGGCACGGGGACGUUGCUGGAAGGGGCUUCGGGCCUGCCUCUUAGAAAAGGCCUGAUCCUGGGCGCUGGGCAGGGCACACGGGUGCUGCGGAAGCAGUAAGGAUCGGUUUCAUUAGCACACAGCAUCCCUGGUCACGGGCAUUCAUCAGCCCUGUCUUGUCACCAACAUGCUACAGCCUUAGAAGGCCAUUUGUUUGCAGUUGGGAAAACAAAAAAGCAAUAAUCGGUGUUGUUUUUGAUGUAGUUUUGUUUUUUGCAAAUGCUUAGAGUAACACAUGAGGAAUGCCUGCAAGAACAAAGUUUUGGGGGACAGAAGGGCAGGGCAGAGGUUACUGGGGUACAUGGGCAAUUUGAAAUAAGCAGAGGCUAGCAUGGCCAUUCAGGGACCACGUCUGACCACCCCUAUCUGGGAGGUGGGGGGAAUCUCAUUUCAGGAGAGCCCCGCCCUCUGCUUACCAAGAAGCGACAGAUGGCAUCCACGGUGGAGCUUGAGCUGUGAGCCGUCCCCUUCCCUGUGUCCGGCGGAGCUGGCGUGGAGGCGGAGCCAAAGCAGGAAGAUGAUCGCAGUCAGGGUC
ensembl:lncRNA